rnacentral:rRNA from 1 species
UACGGAGGGAGCUAGCGUUGUUCGGAAUUACUGGGCGUAAAGCGCGCGUAGGCGGCUUUGUAAGUUAGAGGUGAAAGCCCGGGGCUCAACCCCGGAACUGCCUUUAAGACUGCAUCGCUUGAAUCCAGGAGAGGUGAGUGGAAUUCCGAGUGUAGAGGUGAAAUUCGUAGAUAUUCGGAAGAACACCAGUGGCGAAGGCGGCUCACUGGACUGGUAUUGACGCUGAGGCGCGAAAGCGUGGGGAGCAAACAGG